rfam:Planctomycetes bacterium RBG_13_62_9 RBG_13_scaffold_7453, whole genome shotgun sequence.
GGAGAGGUGGCCGAGUGGCUUAAGGCGACGGUUUGCUAAACCGUUGUAGGGGGUAAACCUCUACCCCGGGUUCGAAUCCCGGCCUCUCCG